ACACAUGCAGUCGAGCGGCAGCACAGAGAAACUUGUUUCUCGGGUGGCGAGCGGCGGACGGGUGAGUAAUGCCUGGGAAAUUGCCCUGAUGUGGGGGAUAACCAUUGGAAACGAUGGCUAAUACCGCAUAAUAGCUUCGGCUCAAAGAGGGGGACCUUCGGGCCUCUCGCGUCAGGAUAUGCCCAGGUGGGAUUAGCUAGUUGGUGAGGUAAUGGCUCACCAAGGCGACGAUCCCUAGCUGGUCUGAGAGGAUGAUCAGCCACACUGGAACUGAGACACGGUCCAGACUCCUACGGGAGGCAGCAGUGGGGAAUAUUGCACAAUGGGCGCAAGCCUGAUGCAGCCAUGCCGCGUGUGUGAAGAAGGCCUUCGGGUUGUAAAGCACUUUCAGUCGUGAGGAAGGUGGUAGUGUUAAUAGCACUAUCAUUUGACGUUAGCGACAGAAGAAGCACCGGCUAACUCCGUGCCAGCAGCCGCGGUAAUACGGAGGGUGCGAGCGUUAAUCGGAAUUACUGGGCGUAAAGCGCAUGCAGGUGGUUUGUUAAGUCAGAUGUGAAAGCCCGGGGCUCAACCUCGGAAUAGCAUUUGAAACUGGCAAGCUAGAGUACUGUAGAGGGGGGUAGAAUUUCAUGUGUAGCGGUGAAAUGCGUAGAGAUCUGAAAG
rnacentral:rRNA from 1 species